AUGGAUAAAAAUAUCAAAGUGCGCACGGAGUCGGAGGAUGGUCUGCUUCGCAGUAUCAGUUGUUCUUGCCGCAAAUUGGAAUGCGCAGGCACACCAUGUUCCCACAUAUUUUACAUAUUGGGAAUUUUACAAGAAGAAACACUGCCCAGGUGUUGUGUUCCCACUAGGUGGACAAUGAGUGCAAAAUGUGCAUUCACACCGACUAGAAAGAGCGAGAUGUAUGCAUACUCUGCAGCCCUAAAAAGGUACCGUAAGCUAAGGAAUUUUAGUCACACGACAUGUUUCAAGGCAUGCCACUCUGAUGAGGCGUUUCAGCAUCUAAAAAGGGUUUUGUAA
rnacentral:rRNA from 1 species